UACGGAGGGUGCGAGCGUUGUCCGGAAUCACUGGGCGUAAAGGGCGCGUAGGCGGCAUGCCAAGCGUGUGGUGAAAGCCCGGGGCUCAACCCCGGGUCGGCCGUGCGGACUGGCGUGCUCGAGCACUGUAGGGGCGGGUGGAAUUUCGGGUGUAGCGGUGAAAUGCGUAGAGAUGGGGGAGAACACUCGUGGCGAAGGCGGCCAGCUAGACCAGUUCUGACACUGAGGCGCGACAGCGUGGGGAGCAAACAGG
rnacentral:rRNA from 1 species